rnacentral:rRNA from 1 species
AGCAGUCGCCGCGGUAAAACGAAGGGUGCAAGCGUUAAUCGGAAUUACUGGGCGUAAAGCGUGCGUAGGCGGUUUGUUAAGUCAGAUGUGAAAUCCCCGAGCUUAACUUGGGGACUGCAUUUGAAACUGGCAAGCUAGAGUCUUGUAGAGGGGGGUAGAAUUCCAGGUGUAGCGGUGAAAUGCGUAGAGAUCUGGAGGAAUACCGGUGGCGAAGGCGGCCCCCUGGACAAAGACUGACGCUCAGGUGCGAAAGCGUGGGGAGCAAACAGGAUUAGAUACCCGUGUAGUCCCUGUCUCUUAUAC